GACGAACGCUGGCGGCGCGCCUAACACAUGCAAGUCGAACGAGCGAGAGAGAGCUUGCUUUCUCGAGCGAGUGGCGAACGGGUGAGUAACGCGUGAGGAACCUGCCUCAAAGAGGGGGACAACAGUUGGAAACGACUGCUAAUACCGCAUAAGCCCACGGCUCGGCAUCGAGCAGAGGGAAAAGGAGCAAUCCGCUUUGAGAUGGCCUCGCGUCCGAUUAGCUAGUUGGUGAGGUAAUGGCCCACCAAGGCGACGAUCGGUAGCCGGACUGAGAGGUUGAACGGCCACAUUGGGACUGAGACACGGCCCAGACUCCUACGGGAGGCAGCAGUGGGGAAUAUUGCACAAUGGGGGAAACCCUGAUGCAGCGACGCCGCGUGGAGGAAGAAGGUCUUCGGAUUGUAAACUCCUGUUGUUGAGGAAGAUAAUGACGGUACUCAACAAGGAAGUGACGGCUAACUACGUGCCAGCAGCCGCGGUAAAACGUAGGUCACAAGCGUUGUCCGGAAUUACUGGGUGUAAAGGGAGCGCACGCGGGAAGACAAGUUGGAAGUGAAAUCUAUGGGCUCAACCCAUAAACUGCUUGUCAAACUGUUUUUCUUGAGUAGUGCAGAGGUAGGCGGAAUUCCCCGGUGUAGCGGUGGAAUGCGUAUAUAUCGGGAGGAACACCAGUGGCGAAGGCGGCCUACUGGGCACCAACUGACGCUGAGGCUCUAAAGUGUGGGUAGCAAACAGGAUUAGAUACCCUGGUAGUCCACACCGUAAACGAUGAUUACUAGGUGUUGGAGGAUUGACCCCUUCAGUGCCGCAGUUAACACAAUAAGUAAUCCACCUGGGGAGUACGACCGCAAGGUUGAAACUCAAAGGAAUUGACGGGGGCCCGCACAAGCAGUGGAGUAUGUGGUUUAAUUCGACGCAACGCGAAGAACCUUACCAAGUCUUGACAUCCUGCGACGCACAUAGAAAUAUGUGUUUCCUUCGGGACGCAGAGACAGGUGGUGCAUGGUUGUCGUCAGCUCGUGUCGUGAGAUGUUGGGUUAAGUCCCGCAACGAGCGCAACCCUUACUGUCAGUUACUACGCAAGAGGACUCUGGCAGGACUGCCGUUGACAAAACGGAGGAAGGUGGGGAUGACGUCAAAUCAUCAUGCCCUUUAUGACUUGGGCUACACACGUACUACAAUGGCGUUAAACAAAGAGAAGCAAGACCGCGAGGUGGAGCAAAACUCAGAAACAACGUCCCAGUUCGGACUGCAGGCUGCAACUCGCCUGCACGAAGUCGGAAUUGCUAGUAAUCGUGGAUCAGCAUGCCACGGUGAAUACGUUCCCGGGCCUU
rnacentral:rRNA from 1 species